rnacentral:SRP_RNA from 1 species
GCCGGGCAUGGUGGCGUGUGCCUGUAGUCCCAGCUACUUGGGAGGCUGAGGCAGGAGAAUCGCUAGAACCCAGGAGGCAGAAGUUGCAGUGAGCUGAGAUCAUGCUACUGCACUCCAGCCUGGGCGACAGAGCGAGACUCUGUCUCAA